AUACGGAGGAUCCGAGCGUUAUCCGGAUUUAUUGGGUUUAAAGGGUGCGUAGGUGGUUUGAUAAGUCAGCGGUGAAAGUUUGCAGCUUAACUGUAAAAAUGCCGUUGAAACUGUCGGACUUGAGUGUAAAUGAGGUAGGCGGAAUGCGUGGUGUAGCGGUGAAAUGCAUAGAUAUCACGCAGAACUCCGAUUGCGAAGGCAGCUUACUACGUACUUAUUGACGCUGAUGAACGAAAGCGUGGGUAGC
rnacentral:rRNA from 1 species